rnacentral:rRNA from 1 species
CCUACGGGAGGCAGCAGUGAGGAAUAUUGGUCAAUGGGCGCGAGCCUGAUCCAGCCACGUCGCGUGAGGGAUGAAUGCCCUACGGGUUGUAAACUUCGUUUAUAAAGGAAUAAAGUGAGGCACGUGUGCAUUAUUGUAUGUACUUUAUGAAUAAGGCUCGGCUAACUACGUGCCAGCAGCAGCGGUAAUACGGAGGAGCCGAGCGUUAUCCGGAUUUAUUGGGUGUAACGGGAGCGUAGAUGGGUUGUUAAGUCAGUUGUGAAAGUUUGCGGCUCAACCGUAAAAUUGCAAUUGAUACUGGCAGUCUUGAGUGCAGUUGAGGUAGGCGGAAUUCGUGGUGUAGCGGUGAAAUGCUUAGAUAUCACGAAGAACACCGAUUGCGAAGGCAGCUUACUAAACUGCCACUGACAUUGAGGCUCGAAAGUGUGGGUAUCAAACAGGAUUAGAUACCCUAGUAGUC